UCGACAGUUAGUCUCACGAAGAUGAGAUUUGUGUUAAUUUUUUGUCGUCAAAGUUGAUCAAUAAAAUGUUAUUAAAAAAAAGCACUAAAGAUGAUACUUUUGAUCGUGAUCUUAUCACCAUAAUUCAUAGUCUGAUAAAAAUAUUUAUUGUUACCUGUCUGUAAUCACAUUCAAUGGAGGCACUUGUUUCAAAUGCCUUUAUUAAACUUUAAUUCGUGGAUUGUUUUUAUCUAUAAUGGCGAAUUACUUCUUUAGUUUUGUGGUAAUGGAAUGACAUACAUACAUAAAAAAGUCUGCAAAAUCUGUGUAAUGUUUUAGAUGAAGAUGUUUUUUUGUCAUAUAAAUCGAAAGACGGGGUAAGAAGUAAAAGAAAGCAGUAUUAGGAAGUUACAAAGUGAAAAUAAUUACUUAAAAUCUUGCUUAGUUUUAUCGGUUUCGGAUUCCUUUUUUAUUAACGUUGUGUUGUGUUGUGUUCACCUUAAUAAAUAGAAAUGGAAGAAAAAAUAUGUGAUGUGGAAGGAACUAUAAAAAAAGAUGGUCAGAACAAAAUUAUGAACUUAUCGAAACAUAAAGAGCCUGUAGCGAAAAUGGUAAUUAAAAGUGAGCCACCAGAUAUGCCAGAAGUGCUUGGAAUUAUAGAUAUUUUAAUGAAUGAUAAAGCAGAGUCAUCUACAUCAACGGGUAAAAAAAAGAAAAACAGAAAUCCAAUUAUACAAAGACGGAAGAAGAUAAUGCUUUCUGAUGAUGAAUGGGAACCUGAGAAAAAAUCCACUACUGAAAAACCAUCUAAAGAAGGUUCUUCAAAAGGAACUGAGGAAUACUAUGGAUAUGACAUCCUUAACCAGAUAGAGAUAGUGACAAUUACCGAAGAGGAGCGUCUUGCCGAGUUGAAAGAGGCCUAUGAGUCUCGAAAACAUAUGAAUUACAUAUGCAAGGGUUGUGCCGCUGGUUUUGUUGUGAAAGAUGCCUAUGAUGUGCAUAUGAAGUUGCAUGCAAAGGAAUCAGGUGAAUUUGUUUGCGAAGUGUGCAACACUUAUAUGAAGAGUGAGGAGACACUUCAUCGUCACAAAUUGCGACAUUAUAGAAGAUACAGGUGUAUGGUGUGCAGCGUGCGAUACAAAGACAAAGACGCAGUGGCAGGCCACGUAUCUUUUAUGCACAGCGGGAAUACGUUUAACUGCGACCAGUGCGGGUCUACCUUCAAGCGUCCACAAUACCUGCGCCGUCACAUUGAGCAGAUUCAUACAAAAUCGACCCCAAUGGAGUGCCCCAUCUGCCAACAGGUCUACUAUGAGAGUGGGUGGUACCGGAAUCAUAUUAGAAAACAUAACAAAGAAGUUCAAGACUCAAAAAUAGUGAAAUGUCCGGAAUGUGACCGGACUUUCAAACACAAAUCGUACCUAAAGACACACAUGCUGACACACGAAUCUUGUGAAGUUGUCUGUUUGGAGUGUUCGGAGAAUUUUAGGAAUUCACAUCUGCUGGAGGAGCACUAUAAAGCCGCGCAUGCGGUUAAUUUUACUGUUCGUCCCGACGAAGACAACCGCUGUACUUACUGCAAGCGGCCGUUUGAGACCCGCGCAAAGAUGCACAACCAUGUUCAGAGAAUGCAUGUUGAUGGUGGCAAGAAGUAUCAAUGUGAUCAUUGUAAGCGUCUUUACUAUUCAAAGGGUGAAGUUCGAUCUCACAUUAAAUGGACCCACUUACAACACGCAGGCGGUCAUGCCUGUACCUGUGGCAGAGUGUUUAGGACCCCAGUGCGUCUGCGAGACCACAUCGCCACACGCCAUUUGGGGGCCAUCCCACCUCGGGACAAACAUUGUCCACAUUGUCAGAAGGCGUUUGCGAAUCAGCAAGUUCUGACUCGGCACAUAAAGUCGCACGCAGGUGAGCUGUUCCCGUGUACCGAGUGUGGAAGGGAAUUCAAGACACAGUCUUAUGUCAAGGUGCACUAUCAGGUUGCGCACUUGCAUAUGACGCGUGCACAAAUACGAAGGCAGAAUAAGAGGAAACUUAUCAUGGUAGAGGAUAUGAAUCCCCAAUCACCAACAAACGAAGAAGAGCUAUAUGGUUGUAAUGAGUGUGGAAAAAAGUUCAAAACUCAAUCUUAUGUCCGCAUUCACUAUUUCACCAAACAUCUAAACAUGACUCACGCGCAGGCGAAAAAGAAAUGCAGGGAAUUACGUUCCAUAACGCAAUUGCCUGGAUGUUCCAAAGACCCCAUGCAAAUUGAAGAAGUAUUUGUCAAGACCGAACCAGAAGACGCUGAAGAACCGAACGGCAUAAAAAUACCAAUGUUUGAAACAUUUGUUGAUAUCCAGAGGGAAUCCAUUGUUUAGGUAUCCGAUUUUAGGCAUAGACUAUAACUAUUCGUCGUUGUCAAUGUCAACUUUCUCACAAAUACGUCAGUCUGUAAAUCCAUGUCAGAACAGAACAAAAAAAAAUUCAAUACAGGUGUAAGCUGUUAAGCACAUCAACUAUUUAGGACUAAUUGAGAUGUAUUAAAAAAUCCUAGCAUAAUUUUUGUUUUUAAGUAUAAAAAGGACUCCAAACUCAAUAAAUGGAAAAAUUAAAGAAGGUAAUAUUACUAGGAUAUGACCUAGUCAUAACUGAUGCCACUUGUAAACAGCCUCUGUGAUAUGUGAAACACGUCAUAGGACAAGCAAUCUAAUCGUUGACUGGAAUUUUUAAUAACAAAGUAGGAAUUUAUAAACUUUAUGCUUAACUUAAGGAAUGCAAGACAUUGUUUUACUUUAUAAUUUGCUCUAUUCAAA